rnacentral:rRNA from 1 species
ACGAACGCUGACGGCGUGCUUAACACAUGCAAGUCGAGCGGUAAGGCCCUUCGGGGUACACGAGCGGCGAACGGGUGAGUAACACGUGGGUGAUCUGCCUCGCACUCUGGGAUAAGCCUGGGAAACUGGGUCUAAUACCGGAUAUGACCAUUGACCGCAUGGUUGGUGGUGGAAAGAUUUAUCGGUGUGAGAUGAGCCCGCGGCCUAUCAGCUUGUUGGUGGGGUAAUGGCCUACCAAGGCGACGACGGGUAGCCGGCCUGAGAGGGUGAUCGGCCACACUGGGACUGAGACACGGCCCAGACUCCUACGGGAGGCAGCAGUGGGGAAUAUUGCACAAUGGGCGGAAGCCUGAUGCAGCGACGCCGCGUGAGGGAUGACGGCCUUCGGGUUGUAAACCUCUUUCAGCAGGGAAGAAGCGCAAGUGACGGUACCUGCAGAAGAAGCGCCGGCUAACUACGUGCCAGCAGCCGCGGUGAUACGUAGGGCGCAAGCGUUGUCCGGAAUUAUUGGGCGUAAAGAGCUCGUAGGCGGUUUGUCGCGUCUGGUGUGAAAUCCCGAGGCUCAACUUCGGGCUUGCAUCGGGUACGGGCAGACUAGAGUGCGGUAGGGGAGACUGGAAUUCCUGGUGUAGCGGUGGAAUGCGCAGAUAUCAGGAGGAACACCGAUGGCGAAGGCAGGUCUCUGGGCCGCAACUGACGCUGAGGAGCGAAAGCAUGGGGAGCGAACAGGAUUAGAUACCCUGGUAGUCCAUGCCGUAAACGUUGGGCACUAGGUGUGGGGCUCAUUCCACGAGUUCCGUGCCGCAGCUAACGCAUUAAGUGCCCCGCCUGGGGAGUACGGCCGCAAGGCUAAAACUCAAAGGAAUUGACGGGGGCCCGCACAAGCGGCGGAGCAUGCGGAUUAAUUCGAUGCAACGCGAAGAACCUUACCAAGGCUUGACAUGUACGGGAAUACGCUAGAGAUAGCGGACUCUUUGGACACUCGUACACAGGUGGUGCAUGGUUGUCGUCAGCUCGUGUCGUGAGAUGUUGGGUUAAGUCCCGCAACGAGCGCAACCCUCGUCCUAUGUUGCCAGCGGGUUAUGCCGGGGACUCAUGGGAGACUGCCGGGGUCAACUCGGAGGAAGGUGGGGAUGACGUCAAAUCAUCAUGCCCCUUAUGUCUUGGGCUUCACGCAUGCUACAAUGGCCGGUACAGAGGGCUGCGAUACCGUAAGGUGGAGCGAAUCCCAAAAAGCCGGUCUCAGUUCGGAUUGGGGUCUGCAACUCGACCCCAUGAAGUCGGAGUCGCUAGUAAUCGCAGAUCAGCAACGCUGCGGUGAAUACGUUCCCGGGCCGUGCACUCACCGC